rnacentral:rRNA from 1 species
GACAGAGGGUGCAAACGUUGUUCGGAAUUACUGGGCGUAAAGCGCGUGUAGGCGGUUUCGUAAGUCGGAUGUGAAAGCCCCGGGCUCAACCCGGGAAGUGCACUCGAUACUGCGAAGCUAGAGUACUGGAGAGGUGGGUGGAAUUCUCGGUGUAGAGGUGAAAUUCGUAGAUAUCGAGAGGAACACCCGUGGCGAAGGCGGCUCUCUGGGACGGUACUGACGCUGAGACGCGAAAGCGUGGGGAGCGAACAGG